CCAGUUGGCCGGGCAGCCGCGCUUCACAAUGUCGAAAGGCGGUGGGGUGAGGAAAGUCCGGGCUCCACGGAAACACGGUGCCGGAUAACGUCCGGCGAGGGUGACCUCAGGGAAAGUGCCACAGAAAGUAAACCGCCCGGUUCCGACCGGGUAAGGGUGAAAGGGUGGGGUAAGAGCCCACCGCGUCUCUGGUGACAGCGACGGCAUGGUAAACCCCACCGGGAGCAAAACCGAAUAGGGAUGACGCGGUGAGCGCAAGCUCGCCAGCCUGUUUCCGGGCCUGUCAUCCGGGUGGGUUGCACGAGGCGGCACGCAAGUGUCGUCCCAGAUGAAUGGCUGCCACGUUCCGACUUCGGUCGGGGCCUUACAGAACCCGGCUUACAGGCCAACUGGUAAU
rnacentral:RNase_P_RNA from 1 species